UAGGUGCUCAAAAAACAUUUGUUGAGUAAGUGAACCUGAGACUGUCAACAAGCAUUAUUUUAAAAUCACUAGCAAAGGAGACUGUAAAAUCAGGAAGUAUAUCUAAGUCACCUCCAAUAGCCGUAACUCUACCUUGUCCAGUAAAAGGACAGUGUACAAAUCAUGAAUUCAAAUAACCACCAUGCAGGUCAAGAAAGAUAAAAUCAGCAGCACAUUCCAGGUCACCUUCUUGUCUCUACCAUCCCUUCUCAUCUCUCCAAAUAUGACCAAUAACCUUAGUUUUGUCAGUGUUUGGAAUUUGUAUAAAUGUGAUUGUACAGAAUGUACCCUUUCGUAUCUGGUUUCUUUCAGUCAAUACUAUGCCUAUUUUAUUUAUUCAUGUUAAUGCAUGGAAAAAUAGUUCAUUUAUUUUAACUUCUGUUUGGUAUUCCGUUGUGUGAUCAUUCUACAAUAUAUGUAUUUUACCUAUAGCUGGUGGGCUUUGUGCCACUUCCAGAAUAGUAAUGUUAUAUAUAGUGCUAUUAUAUUCAUUUUUGUAUGAAUACAAAUGGUACCUUUGUUUUGUUUUGAGUAGGAGGGGAUUUACUAGAUAAAUGGGUUAUGGGUGUUUUCAACUUUGACAGACACUAAAAGUUUCUCAAAGUAAUAGUACCAAAUUACCUUCUCACCAGGAAUAUA